GGAUGGCCGAGCGGUCCAAGGCGCUGCGUUCAGGUCGCAGUCCGGUCUUCCGGGCGUGGGUUCGAAUCCCACUCCUGACAAGUCCACUUCACCCAGCUGAGUACCUCUACUUUUUGUUUUGGAGAAUUUCACCCGCUUUUCACACUCCCGAGGAUGACAUUGAAACAAACUAGAGACAGAGUAAUGGAAAGGCAACUGUAGUCAACAGCAAGCACAACCAUCUCUUAGGCUACUGUUACCUGACUUAAAAGUGGGAUUUGGGUGUCACUCAUGUUAGUGCACCCACAGCCACAAAGUAUGGAGGAUGUUUUUAUGACAGCAAAACAAGAACUCAAGGUUUUAGAAUCAGAAUAUGCUAACCACCAGGCCACACCCAGCCCAGUUUGAUUUUAGGUUAAACUUACUUUAAUAUGUGCAGAUAAGUGUAAGUUUUUUGCUAUUUCUAUUAUCUAUAUACUAACUUUUAUUUUUGAGUAAUCUUAAGGAUUUUGCGUUAGUUUAGUGAACACGUCUAUAUUGUAUAAUUUCUUGUUGGCGGUUAUAAUAGUAAAUAAAUGUUUAGUUUGUUUGUUGAAGAAUGUUGCACAAUAAUCAGCAUAAAAUCUGCCUAAAUCUCACUUGAAUUCAAUAAAAGCAUUUAUAUGUAAGGAAUUUGCUGUUGUUGGCUACGUUUUUAAAUGUUCAUUUGUAUUGUUGCCUGGCAGGACAGCCAUAUGAUAGGUAUGGCCUAUGACUAGAUCCUUCUUGAAGACUUAGGAAAUGACUUGGGCAUUAUAAAAUGAGAGGUAGGCUAGAAUAAAUUAUAAUUGAUUUGUGAGUCUGUUACAGUGGAUGAUUGAUUUCUGAGUUAACGUUUAUUAGUCAGUUUGUCUGUUACUGUUAGUCAGUUAGUUCAAUUUGUAAGAAUUACAAUAUGUAUGAGAGAAUUAGCAGGUAAGUGAAACUGUUGUAUCAAGAAAUUAUAUAUUGUGAAAUAAAUAAAAUAUCUUUAUCAUCAUAAACAGGACAACACUAACAAUUCUUCCUUUUUUUUACUGAAUACUCUAAGAUAACCUGCCCAACAAUAUAAAUUAUUUUUAUAGUAUUUACUCUCGUGUUUUUCUUUCUAUGUGUGUAUGGAUGGUUAGUACUGCAUGGAACCUUAUUUUGAUCAGAAAUUUCAUGAAAUGGAUUCUUAAUUUGAUAAGUUAAAUAAGAAACAUAACAUUCCAGCAUAAUUAAGUGAAUUUAUCUGAAAAAAUAAAUCAGUGAGCAUGUAAAAUAUGAACAAUUCUUUGAAACAUAUUAUGAUAAAGAAAAAAGGACAAAACUUACGAAGUAUAAACGUACUCAACAGAAACUGUUUUACUUAAACAAUAAUCAUAGUAUUUCUUUAAAUUGGUAAUAAAAAUCAAAUCAAUUUAUGAUAGCUUUUGUAUUUUUGUGGAUUUGUUUUAGUGCAUGAAAGAGGAGAAUCAAGUAAAAAAUUGGUAAUAUUCCUUUACCAUCAGUUUUGAAACUGAAGGAUCACAUAUUUUCUUCCAACAAAAAAAAACAUUUGUACCAUUAGAAGUUGAUUUUUUUUACACUACAGUUUUCUAAUAUGGAAACACAAAUGUCAGAGUAACAAUGGCAGGACAGGCUAUGCCUUUCUUAAAGUCUAUAAAAAAAUAGCAAUGGAAGCUUUUUUUUCCCAGCAGGCCCUUAGUUGGUUAUCUUUUUUUUUUUUUUGUAAAAGAGCAAAAGUGUUUCACAUUUGUAUUUAACCAU